GGCCCCUUGUGAAGAAAAGAUGGGGGGUCUGGCCUGCCCAGUGACAUGAUGUUAAACGGCCGCGGUAUCCUGACCGUGCGAAGGUAGCGUAAUCAUUUGCUCAUUAAUUGUGGGCUGGUAUGAAUGGCUUGACGAGGGUGCAGCUGUCUCUUUGCAAUUAUAUGGAAAUUAUUUUUUGGGUGAAGAAACCCAAAUGUGGCUGGGGGACGACAAGACCCCAUCGAGCUUUAGUGGAAUUUUAGAAAGCGCAAACAUAUUGUGUAAGUUGUGGUGUCUGAAUGAAUCUUUGAUUGGGGCGAUCGAGAAGUAGGAAAAACCUUCUGUUUUAUUUGAUGGCUUGUUAGCGGAAGAUCUGGCUUAUUGUGCAGAUAGAAAGAAUAAGUUACCGUGGGGAUAACAGCGUAAUCUUCUUGGAGAGUUCGUAUUGAGAAGAGGGUUUGCGACCUCGAUGUUGGACUAAGAUCUCCUGAGGGCGCAGAAGCUUUUAAGGGUUAGUCUGUUCGACUAUUAAAAUCUUACA
rnacentral:rRNA from 1 species